GGUUAAGUUUAUUAUAAAACCUGUAGAUAAAAAAAUAAUUAUCUCACUUAGUUAAUCAAUAAAACAACUAUAAAUAUAUAAAUGAGAAAAAACCAUUAUCCAAUGUCGUCAUCAACACUGAAACUUCUAUCAAAUGCAUAAUCAACAAAACUGUAGAGAGCAAAGACUCGCUCUCAAAUCCAUCCAAUUCUUCCUAUGUCUCUUCCACAAUAUCAUCCACAACUGCAUACAAUAAAAACCAUAACAAUUAAUAUUACAUUCAAAACUGAAAUCACACUUUGAGACAUUUUCUUCUUCUUAAAUCAUAAUUAUUAUGAAAUGUAGCAUUACAUUGAGAAAUUAACAUCACAAGUAUAUUUACUAAUCAUCAAUAAAUGUUUCUCUUAUUCUCAUUUAAUCCCUUACAUCAUAGCGCAUUGUCCAUUCCUUUCUUGAUUCCUUUCAUCAUAUAUUAUUAAAACACAAUAGUGUGUUGUGUUGGCCGUGAGGCCAUUCCACAGAGCAACCUCAAACCGAUGAACAGUGCUGAGAAUGUUGUCUCUUGGGUUGUUAAUGUUGAGGUAUAAUAUUAACAUAUCAACACCUUCAUUUCAACACUUCUGCCACUCAACAUCCUCGUCUCGUUCUUGGCUCUUUCUAGACACAAACCCAAUUUCGAACAAAAUGUUAAGUUUGCAUGUUUUAUGUUUAAUCCUCAUUUACAUGUUUUUAUUUUAAAUAAUUGUCUUUUUUUAAAUAGUACUCAAUAUAUGUAUUACUUAAAAAAUGCAAUGUUCUGUCCACGAAAUGUUUUUUAAGUUGAAUAUCUAAGAGAAAACAGAACAUUAAGAAAAAGUUUUGGAUCUAAUUAAGCAAAUCCUUCUAUAUACAUUACCUUUGGUACUUCCUUGAUUUGAUUUUGAGAUAAAUCUCAUCAUUCCUUGAAAAAAUUUAUGUGCGUCUUCAUCGUCUUCAUCUUUGUCCAUUUUGUUGGGUAUUUCUCUAACUCUAAAAAUUCAAAGAUAGCUAUAUAUAUUAUUUUUGUCACUGGUUGAAA
rnacentral:lncRNA from 1 species